rnacentral:snRNA from 1 species
AUCGCUUCUCGGCCUUUUGGCUAAGAUCAAGUGUAGUAUCUGUUCUUUUCAGUUUAAUAUCUGAUACGUCCCCUACCCGGGGACCAUAUAUUAAAUAGAUUUUUGGAACAGGGAGAUGGAAUAGGGGCUUGCUCCGUCCACUCCACGCAUCGACCUGGUAUUGCAGUAUCUCCAGGAACGGUGCACUCCCU